UGGGGAAUAUUGGACAAUGGGGGCAACCCUGAUCCAGCAAUGCCGCGUGUGUGAAGAAGGUCUUCGGAUUGUAAAGCACUUUCGACGGGGACGAUGAUGACGGUACCCGUAGAAGAAGCCCCGGCUAACUUCAUGCCAGCAGCCGCGGUAAUACGAAGGGGGCUAGCGUUGCUCGGAAUGACUGGGCGUAAAGGGCGUGUAGGCGGUUUACACAGUCAGAUGUGAAAUCCCCGGGCUUAACCUGGGAGCUGCAUUUGAUACGUGUAGACUAGAGUGUGAGAGAGGGUUGUGGAAUUCCCAGUGUAGAGGCGAAAUUCGUAGAUAUUGGGAAGAACACCGGUGGCGAAGGCGGCAACCUGGCUCAUGACUGACGCUGAGGCGCGAAAGCGUGGGGAGCAAACAGGAUUAGAUACCCUGGUAGUCCACGCUGUAAACGAUGUGUGCUAGAUGUUGGGUAACUUUGUUAUUGCAGUGUCGCAGUUAACGCGUUAAGCACACCGCCUGGGGAGUACGGCCGCAAGGUUGAAACUCUAAAGUG
rnacentral:rRNA from 1 species